AACUAACAAGGAUUCCCCUAGUAACGGCGAGUGAACCGGGAAGAGCUCAAAUUUGAAAUCUGGCGUCCUCAGGGCGUCCGAGUUGUAAUCUAUAGAGGCGUUUUCCGUGCCGGACCGUGUCCAAGUUCCUUGGAACAGGAUAUCAAAGAGGGUGACAAUCCCGUACUUGACACGACGACCGGUGCUCUGUGAUACGUCUUCUACGAGUCGAGUUGUUUGGGAAUGCAGCUCAAAAUGGGUGGUGAGUUCCAUCUAAAGCUAAAUAUUGGCGAGAGACCGAUAGCGAACAAGUACCGUGAGGGAAAGAUGAAAAGCACUUUGGAAAGAGAGUUAAACAGUACGUGAAAUUGUUGAAAGGGAAACGAUUGAAGUCAGUCGUGACCGAGAGGCUCAGCCGGUUCUGCCGGUGUAUUCCCCUCGGUCGGGUCAACAUCAGUUUUGUCCGGUGGAUAAGGGCGGUAGGAAGGUGGCACCCUCGGGUGUGUUAUAGCCUGCCGUCGCAUACAUCGGGUGAGACUGAGGAACGCAGCUCGCCUUUAUGGCCGGGGUUCGCCCACGUCCGAGCUUAGGAUGUUGACAUAAUGGCUUUAAACGACCCGUCU
rnacentral:rRNA from 1 species